rnacentral:ncRNA from 1 species
CUAAAAGUUAUGAUGAGGACAAGGGUAUUCUAGUCGCCGAUUAUCAGAGAGGGAAGCCAACAGGCUGUAAGCUUCCUAUUCGCAUGGAACACUUACCACCUUUAAACUUCGGCUCGGAAAGCAGUCAUUCUGCGAAUAUGAGCUGACGGGAAGCUGCCGUUACCAAGUUACAAGUGCCAUUUUGCCGUGAAAAGCAAGCUGGAACGAGGGUGGAACCGCGGGUUAAUGAUAUUUAUUACUAAGCUCGUCCCUGUU